GGUGAACGCUGGCGGCGUGCCUAAUACAUGCAAGUCGAGCGAACAGACGAGGAGCUUGCUCCUUCGACGUUAGCGGCGGACGGGUGAGUAACACGUAGGUAACCUACCUAUAAGACUGGGAUAACUUCGGGAAACCGGAGCUAAUACCGGAUAAUAUUUCGAACCGCAUGGUUCGAUAGUGAAAGAUGGCUUUGCUAUCACUUAUAGAUGGACCUGCGCCGUAUUAGCUAGUUGGUAAGGUAACGGCUUACCAAGGCAACGAUACGUAGCCGACCUGAGAGGGUGAUCGGCCACACUGGAACUGAGACACGGUCCAGACUCCUACGGGAGGCAGCAGUAGGGAAUCUUCCGCAAUGGGCGAAAGCCUGACGGAGCAACGCCGCGUGAGUGAUGAAGGUCUUCGGAUCGUAAAACUCUGUUAUUAGGGAAGAACAAACGUGUAAGUAACUGUGCACGUCUUGACGGUACCUAAUCAGAAAGCCACGGCUAACUACGUG
rnacentral:rRNA from 1 species